GAUGAAGAACGUAGUGAAAUGCGAUAAGUAAUGUGAAUUGCAGAAUUCAGUGAAUCAUCGAAUCUUUGAACGCACAUUGCGCCCCUUGGUAUUCCGAGGGGCAUGCCUAUUCGAGCGUCAUUAUCACCCCUCAAGCCUAGCUUGGUGUUGAGGCCUGCUGUCAAGGCAGCCUCUAAAAUCAGUGGCAGUGCUGUCAGGCUCUAAGCGUAGUAAAUCUAAUCGCUAUAGACACCUGGUGGACACUCGCCAGAACCCCCCCAUUUUUUAAUGAUUGACCUCGGAUUAGGUAGGGAUACCCGCUGAACUUAAGCAUAUCAAUAAGCGGAGGA
rnacentral:misc_RNA from 1 species